CCUACGGGUGGCAGCAGUGGGGAAUAUUGGACAAUGGGCGAAAGCCUGAUCCAGCCAUGCCGCGUGUGUGAAGAAGGCCUUCGGGUUGUAAAGCACUUUCAGUGGGGAAGAAAGCCUUGGGGCUAAUACCCUCGAGGAAGGACAUCACCCACAGAAGAAGCACCGGCUAACUCCGUGUCAGCAGCCGCGGUAAUACGGAGGGUGCGAGCGUUAAUCGGAAUUACUGGGCGUAAAGCGCGCGUAGGCGGUCUGAUAAGCCGGUUGUGAAAGCCCCGGGCUCAACCUGGGAACGGCAUCCGGAACUGUCAGGCUAGAGUGCAGGAGAGGAAGGUAGAAUUCCCGGUGUAGCGGUGAAAUGCGUAGAGAGCGGGAGGAAUACCAGUGGCGAAGGCGGCCUUCUGGACUGACACUGACGCUGAGGUGCGAAAGCGUGGGUAGCAAACAGGAUUAGAUACCCUAGUAGUC
rnacentral:rRNA from 1 species